GGCAGUUCUCCAGUGAUGCACCCUAGAAUUGGGCUCCCUCAUCUCUGGUUCCAGGUGCAUCACCCAAGAACCACA
rfam:Myotis brandtii contig294290, whole genome shotgun sequence.